rnacentral:misc_RNA from 1 species
GUAAUUGUCAACAAGCUUGUUAGCAGUACAGAAGUUGCAUGUGAAUCAUCACCAAAUGCCAAAACGAAAAUACAUCAAAGAACUGUCAAAUUUAGAUGUUAUGGAAUUGAAGAACUGUACAGAUUAUUAUGUUACAUACUACGUAUACCCAUACAAUGCAAAUCGUAAUUCUUCAGAUAUAGAGUAAAGCGCAUAAUCUCUCUUACGCAUGCGGACGAGAAGCAGAUAGCCUUGGAUAACUGGCAGCUUUUCCAUCAGAAAUGCCAUUGGUGCUUUUCCUACGAUAUCUAGGAUCAUUGCUUGAACUUCGAUGAACUUUUCGGGUUGUCAAUGGACUCGAGCAAUUGUUCCAAUGCUUUUACCACUUCUUCCAUAUUAGGCCUAAACCUUGGUUCUGUUGAUAGGCACUGGACUGCAAGAUUAGCUGCUUUUAGUGCAUCUUUUAAUGAAUACUGGCCUUCAAGUCGUGCAUCCAUAACUUGGAAAACUUUGCGUUUGCUGCCAAGAAAAGGCCUUGCCCACUCAACUAAAUUUUGUUCUCUGUAAGGCUUGCUUUUGUCUAUGGCUCCCCCCCCCCAUAAAA